rnacentral:rRNA from 1 species
CCUACGGGAGGCAGCAGUGGGGAAUUUUGGACAAUGGGCGCAAGCCUGAUCCAGCAAUGCCGCGUGCAGGAUGAAGGCCUUCGGGUUGUAAACUGCUUUUGUACGGAACGAAACGGUCUGCUCUAAUACAGUGGGCUAAUGACGGUACCGUAAGAAUAAGCACCGGCUAACUACGUGCCAGCAGCCGCGGUAAUACGUAGGGUGCGAGCGUUAAUCGGAAUUACUGGGCGUAAAGCGUGCGCAGGCGGUUAUAUAAGACAGAUGUGAAAUCCCCGGGCUCAACCUGGGACCUGCAUUUGUGACUGUAUAGCUAGAGUGCGGCAGAGGGGGAUGGAAUUCCGCGUGUAGCAGUGAAAUGCGUAGAUAUGCGGAGGAACACCGAUGGCGAAGGCAAUCCCCUGGGCCUGCACUGACGCUCAUGCACGAAAGCGUGGGGAGCAAACAGGAUUAGAUACCCUGGUAGUCCACGCCCUAAACGAUGUCAACUGGUUGUUGGGUCUUCACUGACUCAGUAACGAAGCUAACGCGUGAAGUUGACCGCCUUGGGGAGUAGGCCGCGAAGGUUGAAAACUUCAAAUUGAAUUGACGGCGNGAGAGNGCGAGACGACGACGAGGAGUAG